UAAUAUAUAUAUAUAUAGGGGCAAAUGCUGUUACAUGAAUCAGAUUCAACUCUUUCCAAAAGAUAAUAUGGGGUCUACACCACCAGCAGAGCAGCAGAAAUCACAAUAUAAUGAUCAUGUCUGCACACGUCCCAAAGAAAAAGGAAGAUUUUAUGCUUUUUUCUUUGGACUCUUCUGCUUUUUUUGCUUCCAUGAUUGUUGCCGAUGCAGCUCGGAACGCACCUGCUGUUGCCGGUGCUGCUCGGAACGCACCUGCUGUUGCUGUCGCUAGAUUGCUUAAUUUCCAAGAUACAUAUACAAGUUUAUGUUUCAUUUUCUGCUGUUGUAUGAAUUGAUGAUUUUGGGAGCCAUUAAGGAAUAAUCUUUGUAUUCUUCAAUAAAUUUUAGUUUUUAUUUUGA